AAUGAUUUAGAAAUUGAUCUAUUCUGGAAAUUUAGCAUUUGGAUCUAAAUGUAAGUCAAGAGACAUGAAAUUGAGACAGCUUUGUAGUAUUGCAUGUUUUUGCUUUAUCAGCUUCAAGACAUUAAUUUAAGAUACUCAAAUUGAAAGCCUUUAUUGUUUUUUAUCUGCAAUUCUGCAUGAUAUAUGCUUCUGUUAUUUAGUGCAAAUUGUAGUGUAAAAGGGAUUUUCUGAAAUAGGUAAAAGGUCUAUUAUCUUAGUGCCUCGUACCUUCAAAACAUAAUUUUCAUAAAUAAGAUGCGGAAACCCACUUGUUCUAAUAUGAAAAUGUGUGGUUUUUUUUAUCUUGCUAGGGUAUAUGUAGGUACUCUCAUGUUUUUUAAUGAUAGAAAAUAGGUUCAAAAUAUGUUAUGCAUAUUUCAUCGAUGGACCAGAUUACUGAACAAGAAAGACAAAGUAAUCAAUGCCUAAUUUGAAAGUCUACGUGAAUGUUUGGGAGGAGAGUUCUUAAUGCCUAAUGGGCAUAAAUGAAUAAUUAAGGCACAACUGAAAUUUGUCUG
rnacentral:misc_RNA from 1 species